CCUGCCUGCAAUGAAUUUCCUGAAAAUUAUCUUCGUUAUUAUGUUGGUCGUAUCCGGUGCAAAUGCUGCGACUUAUUACUUCACGAGGACAAAGCUGCUUCCAAAUGGUACGAAUAGUAGAACUAUAUGUGAUAUUAGGGAACUUCAUGAAACAGGUGCUCUUGAUUAUGUAAACAUUGGAUGGCAAAUGCAAUCAAGCCGAGUGUGUGGAUUACACUCCUGUUUUUUUUUUAAUAAGCACCAUCCAGCAGCUUCUGAUUUUUUGUACUGCCAACACCCAGCUCUUUUUGCAGAGUGUGAGACUUAUGGAGUAGACACAACAGUAGAUUGGCCCGAAUGCUGUUGGAAGUGUGUCGAUUUUAAAAAAUGUUAGCUCUGAAGUUUCGAUUAUCAGUUCAUGUUACAAUUAUGUAUGCAAACAUGCGAAAUAAAUAUUUUAUUACUCUGAA